AAAUUGAAGAGUUUGAUCAUGGCUCAGAUUGAACGCUGGCGGCAGGCCUAACACAUGCAAGUCGAACGGUAGCACAGAGAGCUUGCUCUCGGGUGACGAGUGGCGGACGGGUGAGUAAUGUCUGGGAAACUGCCUGAUGGAGGGGGAUAACUACUGGAAACGGUGGCUAAUACCGCAUAACGUCGCAAGACCAAAGAGGGGGACCUUCGGGCCUCUUGCCAUCAGAUGUGCCCAGAUGGGAUUAGCUUGUUGGUGAGGUAACGGCUCACCAAGGCGACGAUCCCUAGCUGGUCUGAGAGGAUGACCAGCCACACUGGAACUGAGACACGGUCCAGACUCCUACGGGAGGCAGCAGUGGGGAAUAUUGCACAAUGGGCGCAAGCCUGAUGCAGCCAUGCCGCGUGUAUGAAGAAGGCCUUCGGGUUGUAAAGUACUUUCAGCGGGGAGGAAGGUGUUGUGGUUAAUAACCACAGCAAUUGACGUUACCC
rnacentral:rRNA from 1 species